UAACUCAACUUCUUUGAGAAUUAAGGAUCAUUCACCCUUGAAAUCUUUUUUAGAUUGUAUAUAUAUUUAUAGAAGAGUGAUUAAUUAGAUCUUAUCCGCAAGUCUUAGCUGAUCUAGUCAUGAUAUAGAGUAUCCACAGUGAAUUUCUUACUAGUGGUGAUAUGGUACUUUGUGGUAAGUUCAUCCGAGUUAGAACUCAGGUUUGAUGGGUCUCCUCUGUCUUUCUUCUGGGUUUUACUUGGAACAGAGAUCAGGUGUGCAAGUUCAUGCACUAUAUUCUUGAGUAUGCAACUCAAUACCCAUCAGUGUGCUGUGCUCCUCGUAAAUCUGAGAGUUUAGGGAUUUACUUGGGAAAUGAAUUAGCAUGGGAUUGUAAUUGUGAAAGGAGCUAGUCUCAAAUUUCCAUUUGUCUCUUUAACUUUAUUGUUUUCGUGUCUAUUAUAGGUGCACGAUGUUAAAUCCUUGUGUUUGAGAUUCCAAUUCCCAAAUUUAAUUCAGUCUCCCCUUUAAUUUAAUUGUAGCCUGCUUGGAAAGAUGUGAAGAAAUCCUUUUUUUCGAUUGCCAAAAUUGGUGCAUUAUAACUGAAGGGAUCUUAUGUAUCACUUCUUGCGACGAGUCUGUGUGUAGUAGUAUGCUAAGGAUUUCAAUAUUUUAUCAUGAAUCCAGUUAAGGUUACAAUGAUUCUAUUGUUAUAAUGAUUCAAAAGCUGUUCCAAUUUGUAUGACUGCUACCUGUCAAAGUCUAGUCUUUGUUGUUUAGAGCUUAUUGACCAUCACUAUCAUGAAGGUUCCAGCACAAGAAGAGCAUCAAUUUGCCAUGUAGAGAGUACAGAACAACUAUCCUACUACCAUUUUUUCAGCUUAAAACUGAUAAAGUUGUAGAAUUAAAUUAAAACCAAUAUGAGUAAGGAAACAUACGAACUGGAAUGGUUGAGUCAGUUGUGUCCUUUGCAGUAGAGAGGCUAGGUGAUCUGCUGAUUGGAGAGGUCAAAUUGUUACAAGGGGUUGGCGAUAAUGUCAAACAGCUGCAAGUGGAACUGAGGCGGAUGCAAUGUUUCCUCAGAGAUGCUGAGAAAAGACAACAUGAAAAUGAGAGUUUACGGAACUGGGUAUCAGAGAUAAAAAAUAUAGCCUAUAAAGCUGAGGAUGUGGUUGAAAAUUAUGUCCUCUAUAAGCCUCUGGACAGAAUGAAACAUCUUCACCAUGUUGGAACUGAAAUUGCAUCCAUCAAAUCUCAGAUAUCUGACCUCACAAGGAGCUUGCAAACUUAUGGUUUGAAUGCAACAGGAGACAAAGAAUCAGAUUUUGCUAAUGAAGCUCAAAGGCAACUGAGAUUCUCAUAUUCUCAUAUUGUUGAAGAGUAUAUUGUUGGGUUAGAUGAGGACAUAAACCAAGUAGUGGGAUGGUUGGUGAGCAAUGAUAGGCAUCCUCGAGUUGUGUAUAUAUGUGGGAUGGGUGGUCUUGGCAAAACGACCCUUGCAAGGAAAGUUUACCAUCAUGAUGACAUUAGGCGCCACUUUGAGGGUUUUGCCUGGUCUUACAUAUCUCAACAAUGUAAGAAGAGAGAUGUUUGGGAGGGAAUUUUACUUAAAUUGACUUCCCCAUCCAAAGAGGAGAGGGAUGAAAUAUUGAGCAUGAGAGAUGAUGAAUUAGCAAAAAAGUUGUAUAAAGUUCAGCAGGAGAAGCAAUGUUUGAUAAUCCUGGAUGAUAUUUGGAGAAAUGAUGCAUGGGACCUUCUAUGCCCGGCCUUCCCAUGGGAAAAUACCUGCAGUAAGAUUGUAUUCACAUCUCGAAGAAAAGACAUAGCAGCACAUGUGGAUCCUGAUGGCAAGCUUCAUGAAUUGGGGUGUUUAAAAGAAGAAGAAAGCUGGGCAUUGUUUAAGAGGAAAGCUUUUCCCAGAAGAGAUGAUGCAGAGUUCAGAAUUGAUAAUGAAUUGGAAAGAUUAGGCAGAGAAAUGGCUGCAAAAUGUGCUGGUCUACCGUUGGCCAUCAUUGUACUUGGAGGUCUUUUGGCCUCAAAAGAAACAUCGAGGGACUGGGAAAUGGUAAAUAGAUUUUUAACUUCUUACCUAUUAAAGGGAGAGGUACUUGAAAGCCAGUCAAGACAGUCAAGGUUAGCUGAGGUGUUGGCUCUAAGUUAUGACGACUUGCCUUAUCAGCUAAAACCUUGUUUCCUCUAUUUAAGCCAGUUCCCUGAAGACUCUGAGAUACCAACAAAAAAGUUAAUUCAGUUAUGGGUUGCUGAAGGUGUAGUUUCAUCUCAUUAUGAGACUGAAAGAGAGGAGAUAAUGGAAUCUGUUGCAGAAAAAUAUCUAAAUAACUUGAUAAGCAGGUGCAUGGUUGAAGUUGGUCAGAUGGGAUCAAGUGGAAGGAUCAAAACCUGCAGACUCCAUGAUUUAAUGCGUGAUUUGUGUUUGUCAAAAGCAAGGGAAGAGGGUUUUCUCCAUAUUAUUGGUGGUUUGCAACAAAAUGAGACUGGUGAUUCUUCUUCAGCUAGUAAAUCAAAUGCAAAACCAUCUGGUGUCGUUCGCCGACUUGCUGUCUUCUUGGAUCAGCAAGUAAAUCGUUUGAUUCCAAGUGAUCAGAAAGCAAAUAAAAGCCUUCGAUCUCUGCUGUAUUUUCACGAAAAGAGAUGUAGAUUGGGUGACCAGCAGUUGCUCAGAAAUGUUUUUGAGAAUUACAAAUUGCUAAGAGUUUUAGACCUUGAAGGAAUCAAAGGAAAAGAGGGAGGUUACUUGCCAAAAGAAGUGGGGAAUCUGUUGUGGUUGAAGUUUCUGAGUGUAAAGAGAACUUAUCUACAAAUAUUGCCAUCUUCCCUUGGCAAUUUGGAGCAUUUGCAGACUCUAAAUUUGCAGACUAUCACUAAGGUAACCUGGGAUUCAACUGUUCAAAUUCCAAACAUCAUAUGGAAGUUGAAACGGUUGAGACAUCUAUAUCUUCCCAAUUGGUGUGGAAAUAUAGUUGACAUCCUUCAAUUGGAAGAUCUAGUCAACUUGCAGACUCUAGUGAAUUUCCCAGCCAAUAAAUGUGAUGUAAAGGAUUUACUGAAACUGAGCAAGCUCAGAAAAUUGGUAUUAAAUGAUCCAAGAUGCUUCAAAGAUUUUUGUGAAAUUUUCAGUCCUCCGAGCAAGAAGUUGAACUACCUUCAAUCUUUGUCCUUGAGGACAGAUAAGUUUUCUUUCCCUGAGAAAGAAGUGGAUCUUGAGAAACUGUUUUUAGGCUGUCCUUCUCUCCACAAACUAUACAUUGAAGGGCGGAUAGAAAGGCUUCCGGAAAUUGGUUUGUUCCCUUCACAACUUGCCAAGUUAACAUUGUGGGGUUCCAGAUUAGUGGAUGACCCAAUGGUAACAUUGCAGAAACUGCCUAACUUGAAAUUCUUAAGUGGAUGGGAAGUGUUCAUUGGAAAGAAAAUGGUAUGCUCACAGAAUGGGUUUCCACAGCUGAAAUUUCUUUUACUUCGUGGCCUGCCCAAUUUAGAGGAGUGGACAAUAGAGAAUCAUGCCUUUCCUAAUCUUUUUCGAUUAGCCAUAUAUGAUUGCAACAAGUUGAAAACAGUUCCUGAUGGAUUGAAGUUUGUUGCUGGUCUUCGUGAGAUUGAGAUCAGAUGGAUGCCUAAAUCUUUCAAGAGCAGGAUAGGAAGUGGUGGAGAGGAUUAUGGCAAAGUUGCACAUGUGCCAUACAUCGCUUUUCUGAACUAAGCAAAUAAUACCAAUGGUUGAAUUGCCAGAGUAGAUUGUGAAGGUUAUUUAUGCCCUUUUGCGGUCAAGUCAUUGAAAGCUAGAAGCAAUGUACACUACCCAGGAAGCUGAGGUUGUGGACAAAAGUUUGAGUUGUACACUAUCUAUGUUCAUCAUCAUCAUUAUCACCAUCUAAUCAUUUAAUGAAUUAAUUGAAGGUCAGGUUAUACUAUUUGGAUAUGUCCACCAUCUAUUGUCAGCGUACUUCAGCUGAGGAUAAGGACGAUAGAGGACUGAGGAGCCAUCAAUAAUGUCUAUGGCCAUCCCAUUCCCAUGGAGAUAGACAUAUCUAUUCUUCUACUUCAAACUGCUACUUCAAAUCCAAAUCCAUUCCAGGAGAUUUAUUUUGUCGGGAACACAUGAAACAUGAUGCUUAGAAAUUAUUAUAUGCACAAACGUAUCUUAAUACAAUCCGAUGUGUUCUGUAUUUAUAGAUUUAUA